rnacentral:misc_RNA from 1 species
UAGCAUUCCAUGCAGUCAGCCUAAGU